rnacentral:rRNA from 1 species
AUUGAACGCUGGCGGCAUGCUUUACACAUGCAAGUCGAACGGCAGCACGGGUGCUUGCACCUGGUGGCGAGUGGCGGACGGGUGAGUAAUACAUCGGAACGUGUCCAGAAGAGGGGGAUAACGCAUCGAAAGAUGUGCUAAUACCGCAUAUACUCUAAGGAGGAAAGCAGGGGAUCGAAAGACCUUGCGCUUUUGGAGCGGCCGAUGUCUGAUUAGCUAGUUGGUGAGGUAAGGGCCUACCAAGGCGACGAUCAGUAGUUGGUCUGAGAGGACGACCAGCCACACUGGGACUGAGACACGGCCCAGACUCCUACGGGAGGCAGCAGUGGGGAAUUUUGGACAAUGGGCGCAAGCCUGAUCCAGCAAUGCCGCGUGAGUGAAGAAGGCCU